rnacentral:misc_RNA from 1 species
UACCUCCUUGUUUUCUUCUUUUCCUUGUACCGUGAAAUUGCAGAGUCCCUCUCCUGGCUGUUUAACUCAUGGGAUCCAACUUUAGAAAAAACUGAUAUCAUCCUAGUAGAGAGAGGAAAUUGCGGUUCCUCUUCUUCCCUUCCAUUGGCACGAUUCACACUUCCACCAAUAUUGGGCUGCUUGUCAGGAAGAACAGAACUUUCCUUACUUCUCAGUAAUGGAGAAGGAUCACAAACUUGAUUUCCAGCCUCACCAGUAUCACUAAUCCAGUGAAAUACAUUUUCCUGUACAACGGGUAAGAAUUCGUCAUGCUGAUCCAUAGAAGCUAAAAUGAAAGAACUAAGCAAAUAACAAACUCUCUACUGACUGAGCCAGUCAGUUACUAAUAUAUAAAUAAAGAACUCUAGCCAAUACCAUCAACGAGUCAAUUCUGAGCAUUGGAAGCUUGAAAGCAACAAAGAAAAGUACAAUAUACAUUAGAUACUUGAUUAAAUGUGAGGUAUAAUGUAUUAGCAUGAACUCUGAUCUGAUACAUAAUUCAAACCCAAGAAACCAAGAAAUAUUCAUUCUUUUACAAAAAAAGAGCCAUUCUUGGGCAGUGGCAUCAAUUGUCAAAAGUUCAAGUCAUAUUGAAUGGUCUUAGUGGCCGAGAAUAACAGGAUGAGGUAGGUGCUGAAGGAUAUCAGAUGAUACAUAUUCAUGGACCUGUGUGGACAGCGGGUGGUUGUAUAUACUGGCUCAUAAAAUGUCUCUCUUCCUUUACAACCCUAGAGCCCUUAAUCUGGUAAUAGACUAGAGUGUCUAACCACCAAGCAGACCAAUGAAAUUGCUGUGCCCAUGAAUCAUCAUUCAAGUGACCAGACAAUAAUGGACAGCACACAGUUCAAAUUUUAAACACACUCGACAUCAGAAUGCUCACAUGUUAUCACAUAUUAAAUAUGCAAUUUAGAAAACAAGGGAGAUCACUUUAAUAAAACCUAAACAGGAAAGAAGCUUA